rnacentral:rRNA from 1 species
GUACAAGCAGUGGGAGCACCUUCGUGGUGUGACUGCGUACCUUUUGUAUAAUGGGUCAGCGACUUAUAUUUUGUAGCAAGGUUAACCGUAUAGGGGAGCCGUAGGGAAACCGAGUCUUAACUGGGCGACUAGUUGCAAGGUAUAGACCCGAAACCCGGUGAUCUAGCCAUGGGCAGGUUGAAGGUUGGGUAACACUAACUGGAGGACCGAACCGACUAAUGUUGAAAAAUUAGCGGAUGACUUGUGGCUGGGGGUGA